rnacentral:lncRNA from 1 species
CAGGGAACAGCGUCCGACCCACGUCCCCCCCGCAGACGUCCGAGGGAUCCCACGCGCUGUUGACUAUUGACAUUUAACACGAGGAGCUUUUCAGCUCCAUCCAUGACCCUGUGAAGUCUGCAUCCGUUCGGCUGGUCCAGACUCACCGACCAGUUUCUCCUCUGUUUCUUCUCGUUCCCAUCAGCAGUCGUGAAAUCCUCGGAGGCGUCUCCGCUGCCGCCCGUCCUGUGCUCUGCCUGCUCCUGAUGUCAGCCUCCUGCUUAGACAUCCUCUCCGUGAGACAUCCUCGUUAGAUAGCUUCCUCUCUGCCUUCAGUGCUGGUGAAAGCAGCUUCACAGACGCAGGCUCCGUCGCCUCCCCAGAGGAAUCGCAGCGCUGUUUUGUAAGCAAAGGUAAAACUCUUUGCCACGCAGCUACUGCGAAAGUUUUGACAAGAAAGCAGCCGCUUUCACAAUACAUGGGUGGUGCACGCUGAUCAGAGCUCAGUCCCGUUUCUCGGGGACAGGCGUAACCGCAGACCGGUGUCACUGCAGUGACCGAGCCGUGCUGCACCGCGGCUGACCCCGCCGGCACCCGCCUCGCUCGCCAGAGCCGCUUCCUCGGGAGAGCUGCAGCCGGG